rnacentral:ncRNA from 1 species
GGUUGGCCGGGAGAAUAGGGAAGCAGGUGCAAAACCUGCGCGGGACCGCCGCCGUAAUGGCAGAGCCUGAACCAAACUGUACGUCACUGCAUUGAGUUGUGGGAAGACGAGGUGAGGGCCAUGACGCCAGAGCCGGAAGACCUGCCUUGGAAUUC